ACUUUGGUUGCUCGCUUUUGGGUUUUGUUGUAGAAUUAAUAUAUAUAUAAUUUUUUUUUUUUUUUAAGAGUUACAUUCGUGGGAAUUCAUUUGUUCUUUUUUCCUGCAUCUGAAAAAUGCCACAUGAUGUGAGUUUAUAAUUUAUAUGAAUAUCAAAAUGGGUUUUCUAUGCAAAUUUUCUUUUUCUGAUUUUAUAGAACCGAAGAGGAUGUUAACAAUAACAUUAUUGUGUGAUAUGCGAUCUAAAGUUCUUUGGUGAGUUAUUUGGUUUUCUUGCCACAUGGGAUUUUAAUAUAUAUUUUUUUUCGUGGUUUAUGCGUGGUUCUCUGUUGUGUUUUGAUUUUUGAUUUCAGGAAAAGUUAAGGAUACGAUCAAACGUUUACUGUUGCAGCAAAAGUUGUUGCUUGAAUUUUCCAGUUUUUAUCUGUGGCUUUGCAAGCUCUUUAUCAACAAGAAGAUUGAGAAACAGAAAGUUGGAGGACAGGAUGAUCAAGUAUUAACCCAUUUUAAAAGAAAAGGUAAACCAAGAAAAUCCCAAAGUGAUAUCCCAUGAUCUACAACUAUUUUCUUAUUGAUCUAAUCAUUAUUGGAAGCCUACUCGGAGUCUACAUCUCUUGGAAGAGUUGUAUUAAUUUGCGUUUGAUUGGAAGGGUUGCAGAGAUUUGAUUCAAAUUGGUGGAUUUGGGCAAGAAAGAAACCUAAAUCUUUUCUUUCGGUUUUAAGAGCUGAAUGGACAUGCUUUGUUUGAAAUAAGCGUUUAGAUUUACAUAAUUUUCUUAACAUGCAUGCUUCAUUGGUAGAAUAGAAUGGACAGAACAUGUACAGUGGCUAGCUUUUAGAUCUUCAUUUUUGGUUAAAUAGUUAUUUUCUUAUGUAUCUUAAUGGUACAGGGUCAACUUUAAUAAUUGUUAAUCCCAUUGGCUAUAUUAUCUGGUAGAAACACUAUCAAAUUGUGCAUGCAAAGUCUGUUGCUGUAGGAGGUUGGAAAGGCAUUCCUGAGCAAAAUUGUUUGUAUAAUUGGGCAUAUACAUGAACCUUUUUUUAAUAUAGCCUUUUAUCAAAUGAGCUUUCCUAUUUAUAAUGGCUGCCUUUAGAGUUAUAUUUGUUUAGUUAGCUAUUCUCAGAGCUAUGACAGCAAUAUGCAUCAGUUGAGUGGAAUUCUGCUCUUCUUGAACAUUUCAUGCUUUAUGGUCUUUGUACUUUGGUUGAUAACUCUUCACAACUUUUGUCCUUCUCUUUAGUUUUCUUCAGAGAUAGUGUCCGCGUUAGUGUAAUUAGAGUUAAUCAUCUGAUACCAACAAGCUAAAAUUCUAUGUUUGGAUUGUUUGGAUUGUGUAAGAGUCACUCAGUUCUGUGAAUGCUGUAUUUACUGGUUUUGUUCUGUGAUGAUUGGUUGAUAUCUCUGUUCGUUGCAGUGGCUCUGGUUUCUUUUGUAAAUGAGUAUAUUGUAUGUAAAAAAAUUUCUAACGUUUUCAAUGCAAAUUUUAGUAAUAUUCUAUGACACAAUCAUUCAUACAAUUUUUAAUCCCACAAAUUCAUAGUACUUGACAUUGGCAGGUUCUUGAACUGUUUUCCCAUUUCAUUUAGUUAUACUUCUGAUCAUCAAUUUUGGAGUUGAUUUUUUUUAUUUAGAUGGGUGAUUGAAAAAGGAAGUUUUUAUAUUCAGAAUGACUCACAAUUUGCUAUGAACUAAAUGAGUUUUUCUUUAUACAGGUCAACAUGACUGUGAACAUAUUAGCAGACUUGUAGUCAUUGCAUGCAUGGAAUACAAUGAGGUUUCCAAUUGAGCAUUGGUUUUAGUGACUUCUUAAAUUUGGUCAUGACUAACCCCUUUUUUCUUAACUCUACUUAAAUGGUUUUUGGGGAACUAUUGGUUGUUUUAAUCUAAACUAUUGGUAGUGAUCUUUUAUUUAAUUUAUCAUAUUAUUGAAAGAAUCGCUUAGUACAAUCAGGUUUAAAAAAUAACUUAAUAUCAUUACUAUUUGGAUUGUGUAGUAUUGAGUAUUAGUUGUUGAUUCGCUGUGCAUUGUGAUCAAAUCCUUGAUCACGUUCUCCGUUUCAAUUUGUUGAGAAUAUGGAUCUUGAUUGAAUUGAUUGUUUUAAUCUAGACCAUUUGAUACAAUUUUCAAUCCCGCAGCAACGCACGGGCACAAAUCUCUGGUAUAUACUAAAAGAGUAACUUUCGUUUUAAUUCCCGUUAUGUCCUUUUACACUCAAUUCACUGUUACUUCUAUAAUGUAUAUCCGAUUUUACCGUAGCCUAUUUUGCUGUUAUUUCAAUUUUGCCAGUUUGUUUUGCUGUCAAACGGAGAGCAAAAUGGGACGCUUGGGUUUUUGCUGCUUCUUCUCUUUCUCUCCUCGACUCAUUGUUCAUCCUUUCCACCGCUUCAAUCUUGCUCUCAUGGUUUUAUUCCCUUUUAAUUUUCUUCUCUAGCGGUUUUGUUGCCUCCUUUCCACCGCUUCAAUCUUUCUCCAACUGGCUGCAGACUCCAUCAAACCCUAGAACGAGAAAUCUUAAAUCCACAACCCCAAACGAAGGUAGAUUAAUUGAAGAAAGAUUGCUCCAUCAGAGCGGGCAAGAUGGCUGGAUGAGUAUGAUCCAUUUAACUUGGUCAGAAGGCACUGCCGUGAGAAACACCUGUUUGUGGAUGAGAUAGUCUACGAAAAGAGUAAGGAGGGCAACCCAGAAGGAUGAAUUAGAGUUAAAUUGUACUAAAGUAGGUUACCCUCUUCAUCUCCUCAAAUAAAUUUGAUUAUCUAUCAAUUUCCUUGAAAUUAUUUUUGGUUUCAAAUUUAUAUCGAUUGCUAGGGUUUUGGAAGGGUGUAUGGAUUUGGUUAAUUUUCAUAUUAUUUUGGGAGUUUGCCCACUUGAGUGAGGUAGAGCUUUUGUAGACAGAUUUUGGCUUCAGGCCAAAGUGUUGGCUAAUCCGAAUUGUUGAAGAGGAUUUGGGGAUUGAUAUCUGAAAGGGAUAAAUCUCUUCAUUUUCCAUCGCUCUCAACCUCAGACUGCAGAAGGAGCUCAAGUUCCUCCUCAUCGACCCUCCACCUACCUCGAUUGUUGCAAGCAAAGACUGUAACAAAAAUCACAGACGCAGAAUACGAAGAGAGAGAGCGAAAGCAUGUCUAAACGUCAGGACGACCUCGAUCUCCUUCUUUCUUUUCAAGACGGGGUUUUGGAAACCCCUCUUGGUUCUCCUUUCCAUUCGCCAGGUCUUGGAAAUUGAUAAAGAACAAAUGGUUGAUUUACUGAGAAAAAUAAUAAAUGAACAAAAACUAAAGGUAUGAACCUCAGAGUGUUGUUUUUGGUAAUUAGUUCUUGAAUAAUCUGUAGUAACAAUCUUAGUUGUUGAGUUGCAUGUUUGGUAUUCAAUCCACCAUUUAAAUGGGAAAGAGGAAGUUCCCCAUCACAUGGUUAAAGCCGUAGAGGGGGAGUUGAAAGUCAAGAUUGUAUCUCAAUAUGAUCGUUUGAUUUCAAAUGCUGAUUGUCUUUCUCUUUUCCUCUUCCUUUUGUUUAUAAAGAAUCAAACUGUUUCAGUUGCUAACAGUGUGGAUCAAGUUGUGGUAAAAAGGAAAUAAACUUUAUUAAGAUAAAGAGGACUGAACAAUAACAUGAAAAGCUGAGAAUGAACAGUUGAAUACCGAGUUGAUUCCACUGCUACCACCCAACAAAUCCAAGUGCUGAAAUUUCAAUUAUUGUUCUUUGGGGAGGCCUUGGACAUUGGUAAAGAACAAAUGGUUGAUUUGCUGAGGAAGUAUGAAUCACUAGAACUAAAGACAUGAGCCUCAGAGCGUUGUAAUAUAUUGUACAAACAUGUAUCUUUUGUUUUUUAUUGAUCAUAAAGAUGUAAAUAUGUUUUGAUAUAGAAGUAAAUAUGUUCCAAUAUAUUUUAUA